rnacentral:lncRNA from 1 species
UUGGAUCCUCACAACAGAGCUAUGGAGAGAUAAAGCUGGAGUGCAGUGGUGUGAUCUUGGCUCGCUGCAACCUCUGCCUCCCGGGUUCAAGUGAUUCUCAUGCCUCAGCCUCCCGAGUAGCUGGGAUUAUAGGCACCUGCCACCAUUCCCGGCAGGUGCCAGUGAAGCCAUUGUUCCAGCUCACUCAGUGGGACUUGGGACAGGAAACAGGAGAUCUGGGGAGCUGGUGGGACGCUUACUAGCUACCUGACCUUGGAUGAAUGAUUCGUUCCUCCAGAGCUUCUGUUUCUUCACCUAUGAAAAGGGAGAAGAUGCCACCUCAUUCUAAGGAGCUGCAUGGGGACUAAAGGAAAAAUCUUGACACUCAAACGCAAUUUUCUGUUGUUACAGGGCCAAGGAGCUCUGGGCCUGAGAGGGGAAGAGUCUGGUCAGCAUUGCCCAGUAUUAUAGCUGGAUGUUUGCCCACCGGAACCUCAUGUUGAAAUUUGAUCCUCAAUGUUGGAGACUGAAAUAAAGGGAGAUGUUCAGCCUCAGGUGUAGAAGCAGUGAGACAAUUUCCCACCACGGAGGAAGAUGAAGAGCAGGAGAGGAGAGGCUGGCGGCUCCCAGGAGCAGAUCACCUGCCCCCACUGCAAGGCCCCCGUGUGCUCAAUAAACUGACCCUUGCGCAG